UUGGUUAUAGCUUAAAUAAAGCAUCUAAAUGUUAAUUAGAAGAUUUUAUAGCCAAU
rnacentral:tRNA from 1 species